rnacentral:misc_RNA from 1 species
UGGUUCUGGCAUCGAUGAAGAACGCAGCGAAAUGCGAUAAGUAAUGUGAAUUGCAGAAUUUAGUGAAUCAUCGAAUCUUUGAACGCACAUUGCGCCCAUUAGUAUUCUAGUGGGCAUGCCUGUUCGAGCGUCAUUUCAACCCUUAAGCCUUCGUUGCUUAGUGUUGGGAGCCUACGGUAGCGUAGCUCCCCAAAGUCAGUGGCGGAGUCGGUUCAUACUCUAGAUGUAGUAGACUUAUCUCGUCUGUGAGUUGGGCCGGUCCCUUGCCGUAAAACCCCUAAAUUUUAAAGGUUGACCUCGGAUCAGGUAGGAAUACCCGCUGA